GAAGUCACUUUCUGUUUCCCAGGUAAGUUUCACUAUAAAAAUAAUUAUUAUUUUUAUUCAACCUGGAGUAUAUUGCUUUUAUUCAACCAUCUAUUUCUUUGAAUUUACAAAAAUAACCUUGUAUGUUACUCCAUUUCCAAUUCCAGAAAUAUUCAGUUCUUGAAAAAAAAGAAAACUAAAUAUGUUAUUUAUUAUUAUUAUAGCUAAGCAAUUAUGAUCUACUUCUUUCACUCUACCGUGGCCAUUCUAUUUCAAAAAACUUCAAAUUUUAAGGAAGAGUGGUAAAGUAUCAAAGACCAACUUCCUUUCAAAUUUUCUGUCUAGAGAUUACCACAUAGUUUUCAAAUUUUCAAAACUGGGUUAAAAUGAAAAGGGGCAGGGUGGUAAACUGAUUGAAAGUCUAUUUUUUGAUUUGUAUGGUAGAAAAAUAAAUUGGUAUAAAU